rnacentral:lncRNA from 1 species
AUUGAGCUGCGACCCUUGUUCAACGCCGUUGGCGAAGCCAGCUGCUGGAGGUGCCGAGAAUCUGAGUUUCGGCAAGCAGCCAGAAUAUUUUAAAAAUGACUACACCAAACAAGACACCUCCUGGUGCUGACCCCAAGCAGUUGGAAAGGACUGGAACAGUACGGGAAAUUGGGUCACAAGCUGUUUGGUCACUCUCAUCUUGCAAACCAGGAUUUGGAGUGGAUCAGUUACGAGAUGACAAUCUAGAAACUUAUUGGCAAUCAGAUGGUUCCCAGCCUCAUUUAGUGAACAUCCAAUUCAGAAGAAAAACAACAGUGAAGACAUUAUGUAUUUAUGCAGACUACAAAUCUGAUGAAAGCUAUACUCCAAGCAAGAUCUCAGUCAGAGUAGGAAAUAAUUUUCACAACCUUCAAGAAAUUCGGAAGUGAAGAAUCAAGUGAGAAUGGAGGAGGUGAAGCUCUUAUCACUAAA